rnacentral:rRNA from 1 species
CCUACGGGGGGCAGCAGUAGGGAAUCUUUCACAAUGGGCGAAAGCCUGAUGGAGCAACGCCGCGUGCAGGAUGAAGGCCUUCGGGUUGUAAACUGCUUUUAUAAGCGAGAAAUAUGAUGGUAACUUAUGAAUAAGGAUCGGCUAACUACGUGCCAGCAGCCGCGGUCAUACGUAGGAUCCGAGCAUUAUCCGGAGUGACUGGGUGUAAAGAGUUGCGUAGGUGGCAUAAUAAGUAGCUAGUGAAAUCUGGUGGCUCAACCAUUCAGACUAUUAGCUAAACUGUUAAGCUCGAGACCGUUAGGGGUAACUGGAAUUGCUAGUGUAGGAGUGAAAUCCGUAGAUAUUAGAAGGAACACCAAUAGCGUAGGCAGGUUGCUGGGACGGUUCUGACACUAAGGCACGAAAGCGUAGGGAGCAAACGGGAUUGGAUACCCGAGUAGUC